AUGUCAGUAAGCGGAGGAAAAGAGACUAACAAGGAUUCCCCUAGUAACGGCGAGUGAAGCGGGAAAAGCUCAAGCAAGAAAUCGCCUGGGUCCCCCAGGCGAAUUGUGGUUUAGAGAGGCGCUUUCUGAGGUCGCGUGGGUGUAAGUCCUCUGGAACGAGGCAUCAGGGAGGGUGAGAAUCCCGUACUCAACCCAACGUGCACUUCUCUACGAUGCGUCUUGUAGAGUCGGAUAGCUUGGGAAUGCUGUCCAAAAUGGGUGGUAAAUACCAUCUAAAGCUAAAUAUUGGCGAGAGACCGAUAGCGCACAAGUA
rnacentral:rRNA from 1 species